AACUACACCUACAGAAGAAUCCUGCAGAAGCCAUUUGUGGCACAACAUGGGCCUGAUUUUUCCUUCUCCAUGCUGCAGUGGUUUCAGUGAAGUCCAUGGGCCUGUUUUUGCUGAACAUAAAUCUCCCAGUCUGCCUGUGAGCUGCCUGCCAGCUUUGAUUUGGGAGCUGCUGAGACAUCAGGGCAUGCCCAGUAGCUGUCAGGGAACACUCCUGCCUAAAAACUCUGUCACUGGGGCAGAACUUAUGCUCUGUCACUGGCAUACAGUGUGUGAGCUUCAUUGGUGCCAUGUGCAAGGACAGCUAUAGAGGUAAACACUGAUAAAUCCAAGCCACUCCUUCAUAUCCGUGCCUUUAUGGAUCCCAAAGCUGUUAUGGAUAACAGAGCAGCCAUACACAAUGGUGAAGCACAAACUGCUGGAUAGCUGCUGCCUGAGGUGGGGUUGAGCUUCUGGAAAGGAACCCUUUUAGGAAAUAAUUGAUAUUCAACAGGCUUGCCUGCAUGACAAGUGUUUGAAGUGCAGAAGCUGUGAGCACAUCGCAGGAACAACCAGGAAGCAAAGAGUUUUUGAAGGAAUCUGGCUUUGUAUCACACAUAGGUGAUACAUCUGUUGGCUUUGGUGAUGUUCCCCUUCCACAGCAGAAGACCAAGCCUGGUUGUUCACAGAGCCAGAGUGAGCAAAAAUCUUACAAAAUCUCAAUAUAUGGAAGAUUUGAGUGCAG